rnacentral:rRNA from 1 species
GACGAACGCUGGCGGCGUGCUUAACACAUGCAAGUCGAACGGAAAGGCCCUGCUUUUGUGGGGUGCUCGAGUGGCGAACGGGUGAGUAACACGUGAGUAACCUGCCCUUGACUUUGGGAUAACUUCAGGAAACUGGGGCUAAUACCGGAUAGGAGCUCCUGCUGCAUGGUGGGGGUUGGAAAGUUUCGGCGGUUGGGGAUGGACUCGCGGCUUAUCAGCUUGUUGGUGGGGUAGUGGCUUACCAAGGCUUUGACGGGUAGCCGGCCUGAGAGGGUGACCGGCCACAUUGGGACUGAGAUACGGCCCAGACUCCUACGGGAGGCAGCAGUGGGGAAUAUUGCACAAUGGGCGGAAGCCUGAUGCAGCAACGCCGCGUGAGGGAUGACGGCCUUCGGGUUGUAAACCUCUUUCACCUGUGACGAAGCGAAAGUGACGGUAACUGGUAAAGAAGCACCGGCUAACUACGUG